CUAAAGAUGAUGAAGAGGAAAAGUAGAUAAAUAUAAUCAUGACAGAGAGUCAAGGAUGCUGGAAACUUGAUAUGAGAGUAUUUAUUGAAGUUCACCUCGGAAUUGCUCGCUGAACUUAUUGUAGGUGGAGCCGGAGCCUUACCGUUAUCAAAAAGGACAGUAUCGGAUUAGUCCCGUACUUGAUGAGAGAUAUCUAUAUUUUUAUAGAUAAAUAAGGUGGUACCGUGAAUUCAGCCUCGCCCUUAUA
rfam:Megamonas funiformis YIT 11815 genomic scaffold supercont1.1, whole genome shotgun sequence.